rnacentral:rRNA from 1 species
CAGUCGCCACGGUAAUACAGAGGGUGCGAGCGUUAAUCGGAUUUACUGGGCGUAAAGCGUGCGUAGGCGGCUAAUUGAGUCGGAUGUGAAAUCCCUGAGCUUAACUUAGGAAUUGCAUUCGAUACUGGGAAGCUAGAGUAUGGGAGAGGAUGGUAGAAUUCCAGGUGUAGCGGUGAAAUGCGUAGAGAUCUGGAGGAAUACCGAUGGCGAAGGCAGCCAUCUGGCCUAAUACUGACGCUGAGGUACGAAAGCAUGUGGAGCAAACAGGAUUAGAUACCCCCGUAGUCCCUGUCUCUUAUAC